AGAGUUUGAUCCUGGCUCAGAACGAACGCUGGCGGCAUGGCUAAGACAUGCAAGUCGUACGAGCCGCAGUAGCAAUAUUGCGGUUAGUGGCGAAAGGGAGAGUAAUGCAUGGGUAACGUACCCCGGAGUCAGGGAUAACAGCGGGAGCAAUCCCUUUAGCGAAAGUGCUGCUAAUACCUGAUGAUGUCGUCGAGUCGCAUGGCUCUGACGACCAAAGGUGGGGAUCUUCGGACCUGCCGAUCUGGGAGCGGCCCAUGUCCUAUCAGCUUGUUGGUGAGGUAACGGCUCACCAAGGCUGCGACGGGUAGCGGGCGUGAGAGCGUGACCCGCCUCAUCGGGACUGAGACACUGCCCGGACACCUACGGGUGGCUGCAGUAACGAAUAUUGGGCAAUGGGCGCAAGCCUGACCCAGCAAUGCCGCGUGCAGGAGGAAGCCUUUCGGGGUGUAAACUGCUGUUGGGGUUCAGCAAGCAACGGAGGUGAAUAGCCUCCCGCGUUGAGCAGACCCUGAGGAAGUCUCGGCUAACUCUGUGCCAGCAGCCGCGGUAAGACAGAGGAGGCAAGCGUUGUUCGGAAUUAUUGGGCUUAAAGCGGGCGUAGGCCCCGGCAAGUGUCCUGUGAAAUCCCACGGCUCAACCGUGGAACUGCAGGGCAAACUGCCGGGCUUGAGGUCGGUAGAGGUGCCUGGAACUCUAGGUGGAGCGGUGAAAUGCGUAGAUAUCUAGAGGAACGCCAGAGGCGAAAGCGGGGCACUGGGCCGAUUCUGACGCUGAGGCCCGAAAGCGUGGGGAGCAAACAGGAUUAAAUACCCUGGUAGUCCACGCCGUAAACGAUGCACACUAGGUCCGGGUGUCUCUGACGGCUUCCGGGCCGAAGCAAAAGUGCUAAGUGUGCCGCCUGGGGAGUACGGCCGCAAGGCUAAAACUCAAAGGAAUUGACGGGGGCUCACACAAGCGGUGGAGCAUGUGGCUUAAUUCGAAGCAACGCGAAGAACCUCACCCGGGUUUGACAUGCUUGGAUGCCUCUUGGGGAUAACUCAGGUAGGCUGCCCUUCGGGGUGAAACUUGCACAGGUGUUGCACGGCUGUCGUCAGCUCGUGCUGUGAAGUGUCGGGUUAAGUCCCUUAACGAGCGAAACCCCUAUCGUCAGUUGCCAGCGGGUCAUGCCGGGGACUCUGGCGAGACUGCCGGCGUUAAGCCGGAGGAAGG
rnacentral:rRNA from 1 species